rnacentral:snRNA from 1 species
CAGGUAGCAGUGAGCAACAUUC